ACGAACGCUGGCGGCGUGCUUAACACAUGCCAGUCGAACGGAAAGGCCCUGCUUUUGUGUGGUGCUCGAGUGGCGAACGGGUGAGUAACACGUGAGUAACCUGCCCCUGACUUUGGGAUAACUUCAUGAAACUGGGGCUAAUACCGGAUAGGAGCUCCUGCUGCAUGGUGGGGGUUGGAAAGUUUCGGCGGUUGGGGAUGGACUCGCGUCUUAUCAGCUUGUUGGUGGGGUAGUGGCUUACCAAGGCUUUGACGGGUAGCCGUCCUGAGAGGGUGACCGGGGACAUUGGGACUGAGAUAGGGAGCAGAAGGGUACGGGAGGCAGCAGUGGGGAACAUUGCACAAUGGGCGGAAGCGUGAUGCAGCAACGCCGCGUGCGGGAUGACGGCCUUCGGGUUGUAAACCGCUUUCGCCUGUGACGAAGAGUGAGUGACGGUAAUGGGUAAAGAAGCACCGGCUAACUACGUG
rnacentral:rRNA from 1 species